rnacentral:tRNA from 2 species
GCCUUUAUAACUCAACGGUAGAGUAUUUCCUUGGUAAGGAAAAAGCUAUGGGUUCAAUUCCCAUUAAAGGCU